UUUGAUGCAGAUUCUUUUUUCUUUUGCAAGAAGCAGUCUAACAGGUCAAAUUUACUAAAGAUUAUUAUGCAUACCUUAACUUGCAGGGGUGCAGAGGAAUGUAUUUUGACUCGAUGUAGCACGCCUGACAUUAUGCAAACCUUAUCUUAAUGACAUCAUUUAGGACACCUCAGCGAAGCACAUUAACUUCUGUAACUUGAGCAGACGAGGAAAGCAAACAUGAACGAGGCAAACUAAUGCCUCAAAAAAUGGAACGAACUUAUCGGAGCAGCUGAAAAGACUCAGCCUAAUACAUUAACAUGCUCAAUAGUUUUGCUGUCCAAGGCUUCUCAAAGAAGAGAAAUAACCCCAAAGCAUAACACUGUGGGACUUCCUAUUACUGUAUAUACACUAUCCAUCAGACUUGUGGUUCUGCAGUAAGUCAGACCCCUGCUAGUUUAAGCCAGGCGUCUCUCUGCAUACGUGACUCACAGCCAAAACAAGCACCUCCUUUUUCCUGCGUUUAAGGCCUACUGAACUAAUCAGAGACGUAGAGAAGAAAAACAAGGGGGGAAUUCUGGGCUUCAGCCUCACCCCAUCAGUUAAGCUACACACGGCACAUUUGGCAAAGACCAGCCUGCUUGAGGAAGCACGGACAGGCAGUACUAUGUAUUGCCAACAAUGGAUGGCAGGAAAUCUUGAUAAAAUGGAAGAACCAGUGGGGAACAACCAGCACAAUGAGGGAUAUUUAAGAGCACCCUCUGGCUGCCUUUCUUUCACCAAGAGCAUAUGGAAGAGUUGCAGAGCAGUAAUGGGAACAGCUCUCAG